rnacentral:rRNA from 1 species
AGUAACACGUAUCCAACCUACCUCAUACUCGGGGAUAGCCUUUCGAAAGAAAGAUUAAUAUCCGAUAGCAUAUAUUUCCCGCAUGGGUUUUAUAUUAAAGAAAUUCGGUAUGAGAUGGGGAUGCGUUCCAUUAGUUUUUUGGGGGGGUAACGGCCCACCAAGACUACGAUGGAUAGGGGUUCUGAGAGGAAGGUCCCCCACAUUGGAACUGAGACACGGUCCAAACUCCUACGGGAGGCAGCAGUGAGGAAUAUUGGUCAAUGGACGCGAGUCUGAACCAGCCAAGUAGCGUGAAGGAUGACUGCCCUAUGGGUUGUAAACUUCUUUUAUAUGGGAAUAAAGUGGUCCACGUGUGGACUUUUGUAUGUACCAUAUGAAUAAGGAUCGGCUAACUCCGUGCCAGCAGCCGCGGUAAUACGGAGGAUCCGAGCGUUAUCCGGAUUUAUUGGGUUUAAAGGGAGCGUAGUCGGAUUGUUAAGUCAGUUGUGAAAGUUUGCGGCUCAACCGUAAAAUUGCAGUUGAUACUGGCAGUCUUGAGUGCAGUAGAGGUGGGCGGAAUUCGUGGUGUAG